rnacentral:rRNA from 1 species
UACCGAGGGUGCGCGCGUUAAUCGGAAUUACUGGGCGUAAAGCGCACGUAGGUGGCGACGUAAGUCGGGUGUGAAAGCCCCGGGCUCAACCUGGGAAUUGCAUUCGAGACUGCAUUGCUGGAGUACGGAAGAGGAGGGCGGAAUUCCCGGUGUAGCGGUGAAAUGCGUAGAUAUCGGGAGGAACAUCAGUGGCGAAGGCGGCCCUCUGGUCCAGUACUGACACUCAAGUGAGAAAGCGUGGGGAGCAAACAGG